UACGUAGGUGGCAAGCGUUGUCCGGAUUUACUGGGCGUAAAGAGCGCGCAGGCGGUCGUCCAAGUCGCGUGUGAAAGCCCCCGGCUCAACUGGGGAGGGUCACGCGAUACUGGUCGACUCGAAGGCAGGAGAGGGUAGUGGAAUUCCCGGUGUAGUGGUGAAAUGCGUAGAUAUCGGGAGGAACACCUGUGGCGAAAGCGGCGCACUGGACCACAACUGACGCUGAGGCGCGAAAGCUAGGGGAGCAAACAGG
rnacentral:rRNA from 1 species